UCUAGAAUAUAUGAUACUUUUAGUAUUUUGUCCCCUUUUAUUCAUGGUUACCCUAUUCUCAUGGAUAAUCUUUACUACAAAAGGUACACUACAGGCAAUUGUGGGUGAAUUCAAUGGAAAGUAGUGGCUCUCCUGCACCAUUACGUGACAAGACCAACAGUACUAAUGGAGGAAGCGAUGCUAGAGAACGUAAGAGACAAAGAGAAAAAUCACGUUGGCUCACAAUGUCUCAAGAGAAAAGGGACGAAAGAAACAGAAAACAUCGAGAAGCGUAUAAAAGAAAAAAGGGGCAACAUGUACAUAUUGAAACUACCAAUGGUAGUAUAGUAGAGACAUUGUUGAGUAAUAAUAUGGAUAUUACUAUACUUUUGAUAUUUCUUAUAUGCUAUGUAUCACAAUUGGUCAUGACGCACCAGACAAGGAAAAUCUGGAUCCUAAUGAAACAGAUGAUUGGUUGCAUAGGAAUGACUCAUUCCAUGGAAACAAUCUAGAUGAUAUAUGCAAUUCAUUAUCAGGUAAUUCACCUGUUAUUAAUAUGGCAACAAUGCAUAUAUUAAUC